rnacentral:rRNA from 1 species
CCCUUAGAUGUUCUGGGCCGCACGCGCGCUACACUGAUGCAUUCAACGAGUCCAACCUUGACCGAGAGGUCCGGGUAAUCUUUGAAACUGCAUCGUGAUGGGGCUAGAUUAUUGCAAUUAUUAAUCUUCAACGAGGAAUGCCUAGUAAGCGUGAUUCAUCAAAUCGCGUUGAUUACGUCCCUGCCCUUUGUACACACCGCCCGUCGCUCCUACCGAUUGAGUGUGUUGGUGAAAUGUUCGGAUCGGCCGUUUGUCGCGGUUUCCGCGUCAUGUGGCUGAGAAGUUCAUUAAACCCUCCCACCUAGAGGAAGGAGAAGUCGUAACA